UACUUUUACCAUUUAACUUUUAACUUUUUUUCAAAACCCUAAAUCCUUUUUCUUUUUACGCUUCCCCGCCGCACCCAUUCUUCCACCCCACAUAUAUGAGAGGUGUGUUCGGUUGCUGAGGUGUGUUUGGUUGCUGAGAGAUGCGUUGAUUGGUUUCGUGGACACCAGGUUAAAGAAGACAAAGGGUCACAGAGAAUGUUACGUUGCACGCAUCACAAAGAUAAUUGAUUUACCGUUUGUUUAACGUGAACAACGAAUGAAUACGUAGCAGUGUUAGAAUAGAAUGUGAACAGACUUGCAACGUAUUAUAUAUGUUCACUGCAUAUUGAACUCUUAGUUCUACAUAACCCAUCACGAUAACAGAGCAAAGAAGUUUGUCCAAUUCUCAAAAGCUAAUGGAUACAAAAGAGUUGGAUAAGAUGCUUUUGAAAUUGGCUAUAGAGAAAAAGUGGCAGAGAUGUCCCAGUGCACCGUCUUUGUCGAAAAUACUGGUGGAUGUGAACACAUUGCAUGCAGGUGUGGAUGCGACUUCUGUUACAUUUGUGGGAAGAGAUGGGUGUUUGGUCAUACAUGUAGCAACAGUUAAUAAAUAAAAGAG